GCUGUGGGGAUCUGGCACUGUGGUUCCUGCAUGAAAACAGCAGCUGGUGGUGCCUGGACCUACAAUGCCAUCUCUGCAGUCGCAGUAAAGUCUGUC
rnacentral:miRNA from 1 species